GAUGAACGCUGGCGGCGUGCCUAAUACAUGCAAGUCGAGCGAACGGACGAGAAGCUUGCUUCUCUGAUGUUAGCGGCGGACGGGUGAGUAACACGUGGAUAACCUACCUAUAAGACUGGGAUAACUUCGGGAAACCGGAGCUAAUACCGGAUAAUAUUUUGAACCGCAUGGUUCAAAAGUGAAAGACGGUCUUGCUGUCACUUAUAGAUGGAUCCGCGCUGCAUUAGCUAGUUGGUAAGGUAACGGCUUACCAAGGCAACGAUGCAUAGCCGACCUGAGAGGGUGAUCGGCCACACUGGAACUGAGCCACGGUCCAGACUCCUACGGGAGGCAGCAGUAGGGAAUCUUCCGCAAUGGGCGAAAGCCUGACGGAGCAACGCCGCGUGAGUGAUGAAGGUCUUCGGAUCGUAAAACUCUGUUAUUAGGGAAGAACAUAUGUGUAAGUAACUGUGCACAUCUUGACGGUACCUAAACAGAAAGCCACGGCUAACUACGUG
rnacentral:rRNA from 1 species